rnacentral:miRNA from 1 species
CGGGGCGUUUCUUUGACUGGUG